UACAAAUAAAUGGGGAGCUUGUGUGUCAGGCUGAGAGGAAGUAAAUAACUUCGACCCUUAUACCUGAUUUGGGUAAUGCCAACGUAGGAAUAAGAGAAGAUUUUGAG
rnacentral:ncRNA from 2 species